GCUGAUUUUGUCAGCUGUUGAGCUGUAUUUCUCCAUUUCUUCCACGGGCCCAUGAAUUCUGGGCUUCCAAAUCCCAAGUGAAUAUCAGCCUCCAGCCGGAGCUCCCCUGUCUAGGGAUCUAAAAACUGUCUGUGCAGCCAUUUGGACCUCAGUGUGAAGUGGUGUUAAAAGGUGAAGUCCAUUCUUCAGGAGGUAAACCUCUGCCACGCGGAUCAUGCUCAGACAUUCGAUUGAAGUUUGUCCAACAGUUUCUUGCUUUGGAAGGUGUCCCUCUUGGUGGAACACACUGCAAAGAGUAGCUGACAUGUGACCACAACACAGGAGCUGCUGAAGAGGGAGUAUUACCACCUCAAACUCACGGCCACCUGGUAUUUUCAAAAGCCAGCCGAGAGAGA
rnacentral:lncRNA from 1 species